UACGUAGGGGGCUAGCGUUGUCCGGAAUCAUUGGGCGUAAAGCGCGUGUAGGCGGUCCGAUAAGUCCGCUGUGAAAGUCGAGGGCUCAACCCUCGGAUGCCGGUGGAUACUGUCGGGCUUGAGUACGGAAGAGGCGAGUGGAAUUCCUGGUGUAGCGGUGAAAUGCGCAGAUAUCAGGAGGAACACCAAUUGCGAAGGCAGCUCGCUGGGACGUUACUGACGCUGAGACGCGAAAGCGUGGGGAGCAAACAGG
rnacentral:rRNA from 1 species